CAGCCGCCGCGGUAAGACAGAGGAUGCAAGCGUUAUCCGGAAUGAUUGGGCGUAAAGGGCUCGCAGGCGGUUUCUUAAGUCUGAUGUGAAAGCCCCCGGCUCAACCGGGGAGGGUCAUUGGAAACUGGGAAACUUGAGUGCAGAAGAGGAGAGUGGAAUUCCACGUGUAGCGGUGAGAUGCGUAGAGAUGUGGAGGAACACCGAUGGCGAAGGCAAUCCCCUGGGCCUGCACUGACGCUCAUGCACGAAAGCGUGGGGAGCAAACAGGAUUAGAUACUCGAGUAGUCCCUGUCUCUUAUAA
rnacentral:rRNA from 1 species